UCCGAAGGACCCCGCAACCGGUUCGGAAACGGCUUUAAGGGUCCGUAAUGGCAGUUGGCCGGUGGCUCUUUCUAAGGGUCGUCGGUUGUUAGCCGUCGGAUCUUGGCUCGUGGCCGGACCGUGGUGUCGCGAGGCCUUUAUAGGCUUCUUCGCCUCCUCCGUUCGCGGACGCCGGGAUCCCGUGGCAGGGGUUCGCACUUCUGCGGGCGCACGGACUGACUCCGUGGCCCAGCGGUCGCAUGCGUCCUCGUUGGCUGCGGUGAACCCGUCGGAGGUUGGCGGUUCGCGGGGAGUAGAUCGGUCACCCACCCGACCCGUCUUGAAACACGGACCAAGGAGUCUAACAUGUGUGCGAGUCAAUGGGUCUCGAUUAAGCCCAGAGGCGCAAUGAAAGCAAAGGCAGGACUCGACGCCUGCCGAGUUGGGAUCCUCCUUCCUUCGCGUCGGAGGCGCACCAACGACCCGUCCUGUCCCAUUUAUGGGUUGGGCGGAGUUUGAGCAUACACGUUGGGACCCGAAAGAUGGUGAACU
rnacentral:rRNA from 1 species